rnacentral:lncRNA from 1 species
AGGGUUAAGAUCGAGAAUUUUUAAUCCAAAAAAAAAGUUACAACCCGACUAGUCAUAAUCAAAUAGCCCAACGACUUAAACAGACUAAUCCGAUUGACAUCCUUACCAACAUCAUCAUCAUCAUCAUCAUUAUCCUAAUUAACGAUCUUCAACACUCAAGAUCUAAUCAGGUUAGAAUCAAAUCAAUUGUGUAAUAGGAUAUUGGUGUGGUCCGUGUGGAGAUAUAUUUAUUUACUCCAUUUAUUUUAUUAUUUUACACAGGAAAGCCCAUUGUGUGGAGAGUUGGCCCAAUGAUCUUUAAUUCCCUAGCCCAAAUCUGUUACUCGGCCCAUUUCCAAAAACCUAGCCCACUAUCCCAUCUGCGCCGCUCCAUCUUUUCCACCGCCCGUCUCCUCGUUUCCCACCUCCGAAUUCAAUGCUCCUCCCUCCUUCCCAAUGACCUCCCCUCCUUUUUUAGCCCUGCUACAAGUCUUUCAAUGGUAAGGAAGUUUUCACACCGUCUGAAAUAGAAAGCUCUGCUAUUCCUUCUUGAAGUGUCGUCGGAUUCCUGUUCGUGGUUUCCUGAGUGGUGACUGUGGGUGUGUGUAAACACAAAUUUUAUUGUAUUCAAUUUAAUGAAAUACAAAAAUGUGUACAAAUCCAAAAUAUGUGGAUUGAAAUGAAUUUGUUGCGGGUUGCGAUUCUCUACUUUAAUCCUCUGAUUCUCCUCUUCAAACUUCUUCAAAUCCUUGGAGGAAAUAUAAUUUCUUGAUCUCCUCGAACUUGAAUGUUGACUUGAAUUUGAUAACGUCGAUCCAGAGGGCUUCCACCUUAUUUCUGAAUCAAACGUUGACUUGGAUGAAUUUGAUAAAGAACUCGUUAACUUCCUUGUAGAACGCCUUGAACCUUGAGCUUUGGACUUUAUAACGUUGAUGCAGAGGGCCUACGCCUUAUUUCUGGAUCGAGCGUUGAAUUUGACUUGAGCUUUGGGUUGCUUCCACAAAGAACGCCUUGAUUGUUGGAGAUGACUUCGUUGUAGUGAAUUACUCCUUCAAUGCUUGAGCUCUCUAAUGAUUUCUCUUCCUUUGACUCCACAAAUGACCCAUAUUUCUAGGUGAAGAAUGGAGUGGGCUAUGGGCUUUAGCCUGUCAUAUUGGGCUUUUAGGGCUGAGGUGGCGCGAUUUGAUUGGCUCCUCAAUAUUUGUAUUUAUCUGCAUAAAAUAUUUAAUAUUUUAUGUAGAUUUUCCACAUGUCAAUUUCUGAUUGGUCAAUAAAUCCACAUAAUCAAAUAUUAAUUACAUAUUUAUUUAAUCUUGGAAUUAUAUUUAAUUUAAUUCCAAAAUAUAAAAUAAAAUAUAUAAUUUCAUAUUUAAUUUGUAAUUUCCACAUAGCAGGAUUUAAUAGGCUAUAAAUUUAAUUGCCUACAGUGUGAACUUCGCUUCGAUUGAGUGCUUGUAUCAUCGGAUUCCUGUCCAUCGGUUUCCUGGUUUGGUGAUACUUUGUGAGUGUGCAAGCCAUCAGAAUCCUGUCCAUCGGAUUCCUGUUGCUGGUGGCUGUGCAAUCGAGAUUGGGGUGCUGAUCCGUUUCUCCUGUUCCCUUUGAGCCGUGAUCAUUGAGCUGCUGGAAGAGCCAUUGCCUACUGUGGGAAAAUCUGAGCCAAAGUGUCCCGAGGACACCUUUUCCCUUUCUCUAACUCUCCUUGUUUCUCUUUCCUCUGACUUUCCCUUGUUUCUCUUUUACUUGCUGCUUGUCUUUGUGUGUUGCAGAGAAGUGAAGAAGAGUAGAGGGAUCGAAGCUCCAGGAGCCAGAGGAAUCAGAGAGGAGGCGCCAGAGGAAUCAGAUAGGAGGCACCAGAGGAAUCGAGUCCAGUGGGGCGGUGUCCAGUCCAGCGCAGCGGAGUCCUCCAGUGCAGCGGGGUCGAGGCUGCUAGGCCAGCGGAGUCGUAAGUCGCCCCGAGCAGAGGAAGAUCAAGUGCUUGAGCACGAGUGGGGGAGACAGGAGGUUCGGGAACCAAGUGGUGUAACCCUGGCUAGACGAAGAUACCCAACAGUGGUAUCAGAGCCACGGUGACCUAGCCAGGGCACCCUCCGAACACAUCUUACCCAUCCCGCCGCCCUUCGGGCUGCGCCGAUUCGCUCCCGACGAGCAAGGAACUAGGUAGGACCGGCCUCUCCCCUUCCUGGGAAGGCGACUCUGGUAAAUUGGCAUAAUCUUGAAACUCCUAGAUUCUAGGGUUGGUGUUGCUGUUGUUUGUGUUUUGCAUGUUUUGCUUGCUGAGAUCUUGGUAUCUUGCGAUCCUGACUUGCUUAGUGCUUCCGCGUGUUGCCUGAAAUCUCGAUAAACCCUUGGCAUUUCAAGCCGAGUGAGACUCCCUUGCUUUGGUCCAGUUCGUCUGGAUUCUCCUUUAAAGGAGUCUCCUCGUGCGAGUAUCCUGGAAAACAAGAGAGAGAGGGGUUUAUCCAGUAAGGCUGAGAGUGGUUUAUUGUUUGUCUGCUUUGUCUCUGUGCUUUGUCUUGCCUACAUCUGCAUUCAUCAUGAACAACAUGCAUGUAGUGCCAUUUAAUGGCAGAGAUGAUUUUCAGGACUGGAAAAUCAAGAUUGAGUGCAUUCUUGUAAAAGAAAAGGUAAAAAGGGCCAUAACCACUAAGGUGGAUAAUUCAGUUACUGAUGCUAGGUUGCAUGAAAUGAAUGAUAGUGCUAGGGCCACUAUUUUGCUAAACAUGUGCAGUUCUGCGGUUAGAAAAGUGUCUCAUCAUGAAUGUGCUAAAGAUUUGUGGGAUGAUUUGAACUCCAUAUAUGCUGCACCUACUGAAGUGUCAACUUGGUCUUUGCAAAAUCAAUUCAUGACUUUUCAAAUGGACUCCUCAAAAGACAUUGACGCCAAAUGGAUAUUUUCAACAAACUGCUGCAUGAUUUAAAACUUGCUGGAGAUGACUCCAUUGAAAAAUAUGCUCCCCAAAUUCUUUUAAACUCUAUACCGAGCCUUUUCUGAGUAAACUGCUUAAUAUGGGGAUCAAAAGUACUGUGAUAUGAUUGUGAAUGGCCUUAAGUCUAAAGAGAGUGAACUGAAAUUGAUUAAGUCAAAGCCACUGCAUGGUGAGGUCAUGUUUGUUAACAAAGAUAAAAGGGGAUUUGAUCAAAAGCCUAAAAAGCUUUGUUGGAAUUGUGGAAAGCCUGGCCAUUUUUCAAAUAGGUGUAGACUGCCUAAGAAAAACAAGAGCUUUGAACCUGAACAGCAUGCUAACAAUGUGUUUGAAGAUGAUGGAGUCUAUAUGGUGCAUGAUCAUGAUUUUCAGUUCUUAAACUACUCCAAUGCUGUUUGUGAUGAGUCAGUCCCUUGCAUUCUUGAAUCCUCACAAUCUGCUGCUCCAAGUGAGGUGGAGAAUGUGAAUGUUGUUAAUCAAAGCCUCUGAGGUUGCUUGUCUCUUAUCUUUUCUUUUUGAGUUGUCUUCUUGUUUGCUGCAUGUGCUGUGUCUGUGCUCUGGUCUGUUGUUGUUCAGUUGUUGUUCUUUUCUCUUGAGUUUCUUGUGUUGAGUUUUGUGUGUGCUUGCCUUGUUUUCUUUUUCCUGCAUGUUGAGUUUUGUGUGGGCUCUGCUCUGCAUGUGUGUGUGCCUUGUUGAGUCAGUUGAGUCUUCAAUGAUAACCCUUUGGGUUUGAGAAAUGGUGAUUUCCCUUUGGGUUGGUCUCUGGUGUUGAGACUGAGAUUAAUAUGUAUAAUAUUUCUCUCACCCUCUAUUGUCUUGUCUUUGUGAUAGGAUGAUAGUAAAAAUGGCUGUGAUGAUAAGCUCGAAUCAAAGGCAUGCUCUUCCCUGGUGACUUAAUGAUCAUUGUGCCAAAGGUGGAAUGUGGAGAGUUGGCCCAAUGAUCUUUAAUUCCCUAGCCCAAAUCUGUUACUCGGCCCAUUUCCAAACCCUAGCCCACUGCCCUUCAGUUUUACUCCCCUCAUCCUCACUUACCUGCGCCGUUUCAUCUUUUUCGCCGCCCGUCUCCUCGAUUCCCACCUCCGACUUCAAUGCUCCACCCUCCUUCCCAAUGACCUCCACUCCUUUUUAUCCCUGCUGCAAGUCUUUCAAUGGUAAGGAAGUUUCACACACUGUUUGAUCGGAAGGCUCUGCUAUUCCUUCCUGAAGUGUCGCCGGAUUCCUGUUCGUGGUUUCCUGAUUGGUGACUGUGGGUGUGAACUUCGCUUCGAUUGAGUGCUUGUAUCACCGGAUUCCUGUCCAUCGGUUUCCUGGUUUGGUGAUACUUUGUAAGUGUGCAAGCCAUCGGAAUCAUGUCCAUCGGAUUCCUGCUGCUGGUGGCUGUGCAAUCGAGAUUGGGGUGCUGACCUGUUUCUCCUGUUCCCUUUGAGCCGUGAUCAUUGAGCUGCCGGAAGAAGCCGUUGCCUACUGUGGGAGAAAUCUGAGCCAAAGUGUCCGAGGACACAUUUUCCCAAACUCGAGUUUCCUCUGAUUUCCUUUCUUUUCUNCCCGUCUCCUCGAUCCCCACCUCCGACUUCAAUGCUCCACCCUCCUUCCCAAUGACCUCCACUCCUUUUUAUCCUUGCUGCAAGUCUUUCAAUCGUAAGGAAGUUUUCACACACUGUUUGACUUAGAAGGCUCUGCUAUUCCUUCUUGAAGUGUCGCCGGAUUCCUGUUCGUGGUUUCCUGAUUGGUGACUGUGGGUGUGAACUUCGCUUCGAUUGAGUGCUUGUAUCACCGGAUUCCUGUCCAUCGGUUUCCUGGUUUGGUGAUACUUUGUGGGUGUGCAAGCCAUCAGAAUCCUGUCUAUCGGAUUCCUGCUGCUGGUGGCUGUGCAAUCGGGAUUGGGGUGCUGAUCUAUUUCUCAUGUUCCCUUUUGAACCGUGAUCAUUGAGCUGCCGGAAGGGCCCUGCCUACUGUGGGAAAAAUCUGAGCCAAAGUGUCCCAAGGACACAUUUUUCCCAAACUCGAGUUUCCUCUGAUUUCCUUUUUUUCUCUCUUCCUUUUGGUCUCCUGUUGUUCAUUUUUCUUGCUUGCUUUCUUCCCUGUUUGUGCAGAGCAGCGAAGUCGACGAGUGCCAGAGCAGAGGAGGCGAAGUCGCUCCGGAGCAGAGAAGUCGCUCCAGAGCAGCGAAGUGAAGAUCCAGAGCAGAAGAAGAGUCAAGUGCUUGAGCACGAGUGGGGAAGACAGGAGGUUCGGGAACCAAGCGGUGAACCCUCGGCUAGGCGAAGAUACCCAACAGUGGUAUUAGAGCCACGGUGACCUAGCCAGGGCACCCUCCGAACACAUCUUACCCACCCCGCCGCCCCUUCGGACUGCGCCGAUUCGCUCCCGACGAGCAAGGAACAAGGUAGGACCGGCCUCUCCCCUUCCUGGGAAGGCGGCACUAGUAAAUUGGCUUAACCUGAAACCCCUAGAUUCUAGGGUUGGUGUUGCCUGCUGCUUUUCCCUUUUUUUUUUGCUUUUGCUUGCUGAGUUUCUGCUAUCUUGCGAUCCUGUGCUUUUGUGCUUCCGCUUGUUGUUCUACAUCUCGAUAAACCCUUGGUAUUCCAAGCCGAGUGAGAUCUCCCUUAUUUUAGUCCAGUUCGUCUGGAUUCCCCUGUGGGUCUCCUCAUGCGAGUAUUCUGGGUAACAAGGGAGAGAGGGGCUUAUCUGGAUUGGCUGUAUGAACUCUGGUGUUUGUUGAGCUCUGCUCUGGGUUGUUGCUUGUUGACUAUUGUUUGUUGGUGUCUGUGAGACUGUUGUCUUAAGUUUUGCUGCUUGCAGCUGUUUGAGCCUUUUUUGUCAUCAUGAACAACUGCUAUAGGUUGUGGGAUAGGUUUGUCCCUGGGUUUAAAACUAGCAUGAGUAGGGAUGUGGUGCUUAAUGAACUUAUCUUUCCAUGUUUGACUGAAUCCUCACAAUCUGCUGCUCCAAGUGAGGUGGAGAAUCUGAAUGUUGCUGAUCAAAACAAGUAUGAGUUUAUGUUUCCUCACCCCACUGUUCCUUUUGAGGUGGAUCCUCAACCCAACAUGCAUGCUGAACCAGAAAACUUGCUUGAGCCUGUUAUAAAUGAACCUACUAAUAAUGAAACUUGGAUACUUGUGGAACAGCCUACUGAAUGCUCUGUUAUUGGGUGCAAAUUGUUGCUUAAAGACAAGCAUGAAACUGAUAAUGUGAGAUAUAAGACAAGACUUGUUGCCAAGGGCUUUACUAAAAGGAAAGGCAUAAAUUAGAAUGGAAUAUUUGCUCCAGUUGCAAAACUGAAUUACUGCAAGAAAAGUAGAAAACCUUUAACUUAGAUCAUGGUUAAAAAUUUAGUCUCUGUGUUUGUGUGUGGCAAGUUCAGCCUCUGUGGCUGCUUGUCUCUUUUAUUUCCUUUUCUUUGUUGUUUGUUGAGCCUUGCUCUGGUCUCUGUGUCUGUUGCUCUUCUCUUUCUUGUUCUGGUUGUUUUUCUUGUCUCUCUUGUGUUUUGUGUUUUGCUCUGUGUCUGCCUUCCUCUUUUGCAUGUGUGUGUUCUGUUGUGUUUUGUGUGUGGUCUGUUGAGUCUUCAAUGAUAACCUUUCAGUUUGAGAAUGUGGUGAUUUCCCUUUGGGUUGGUCUCUGGUGUUGAGACUGAGAUUAAUAUGUAUAAUAUUUUUCUCACCCUCUAUUGUCUUGUCUUUGUGAUAGGAUGAUAGUAAAAAUGGCUGUGAUGAUAAGCUCAAAUCAAAGGCAGGCUCUUCCCUGGUGACUUAAUGAUCAUUGUGCCAAAGGUGGAAUGUGGAGAGUUGGCCCAAUGAUCUUUAAUUCCCUAGCCCAAAUCUGUUACUCGGCCCAUUCUCCAAAAACCUAGCCCACUAUCCCAUCUGCGCCGCUCCAUCUUUUCCACCGCCCGUCUCCUCGUUUCCCACCUCCGAAUUCAAUGCUCCUCCCUCCUUCCCAAUGACCUCCCCUCCUUUUUUAGCCCUGCUACAAGUCUUUCAAUGGUAAGGAAGUUUUCACACCGUCUGAAAUAGAAGGCUCUGCUAUUCCUUCUUGAAGUGUCGCCGGAUUCCUGUUCGUGGUUUCCUGAGUGGUGACUGUGGGUGUGAACUUCGCUUCGAUUGAGUG